rnacentral:rRNA from 1 species
UACGAAGGGGGCUAGCGUUGCUCGGAAUCACUGGGCGUAAAGGGUGCGUAGGCGGGUCUUUAAGUCAGGGGGUGAAAUCCUGGAGCUCAACUCCAGAACUGCCUUUGAUACUGAAGAUCUUGAGUUCGGGAGAGGUGAGUGGAACUGCGAGUGUAGAGGUGAAAUUCGUAGAUAUUCGCAAGAACACCCAGUGGCGAAGGCGGCUUCACU